UCCAACCUCCACAUCCACUUCCAGUUUUAUCCUCACUCCCACUUUCACCAAAAACACUUCGUGGCAAACGAGGCAUGAGUGUUAGCCGUAGCGGAAGCAAUUCUCAAACGGAGUUCGGAGAUCACAAGGCAGGCAGCUUGGGAACGAAAUAUGAAGCCGUUAGGAUGGUGGCUGAUGCUGGUUGGCACGCUCCGAUUAGCCUCCGUCUGGUUCGGUUUCUUUGACAUUUGGGCUCUUCGACUUGCCGUCUUCUCUAACACUGACAGUAGCUUCUAUCCUCUCGACUUCCACUAUUUAUGGAGUUUCUUGCAUUUCCACAAUGCUGCUUAUUUUCAAGCGCGCAUAGUUAGUAAUCUGUAAUCCCCUUAGAUCCACAGUGGAUUUCUGGAAUUCAGCCUGUUUAUUUUUCUAGGAGUCACUUUCAUCAAUGAAAUUAUCUCCCCACGUUAGGGUGUGGAGUGCGGACACCGUGGGUUUAUAGUAGAGGACUUUUUCUUAGGUAGCUGGGGACAAUUCGCUACUCCAGCGGCUGCAAUGGGUUGAGUGUAUAUUCGGAUCCCAGAGUUGUUUGCUGUGUCAAAUAACGUCUGAAGUUCAUGGACGAACAUUUGGAAUUUGGACAUUUUUGACCUGCACUCUUUGCUAUCUUUGUCCAUUCGACCUUGAAAAUAAGCCUCUUUAUCUGGAUAUUUUCUUGUCAUUCAUCUAUGCACUCGGUCAUUUCUUGAGUGAGAAUACCUGAUUUAUCACACGAUGGCAAUUUAAAACCUGACAACCGUUGGCAUAUUUGCAGGUGGGACUAAAGUGCAUUCAUGGGUUGAAGGUGUUGUGCCCUUGUAAACAAAGAUACGUGGCUAUGAAUGCCUCUUUGAUUUUCAUGCGCCACGUUGAAGGGAUGCUUUACCCACUUUGCAUUCCAACGUCAACAAGGCAUAAAACUUCAAACAUCACCUAGAAGUUUCAAGAAUCAGAAGAUCGGCCUGACAUUUUCCAGGAUUUUCUUGAAGGCACUUGCUUUAAUAAUCAAGUAAGACACGGAUCUUACGAUAAGCCAUGGAUGACUUUCCCAUUCGAGUCGGACAGUCUGUAGACGCAACUCCUUUACCAACUUCUGAAUGAGGAUUCAGGAAAAAACCAACAACGUUCAUUUUCAAACGCUAUUUGUCUAUAUGAACUCACAGAUCAGCACCAUUAGAGUCGUUA